rnacentral:rRNA from 1 species
AUUGAACGCUGGCGGCAUGCUUUACACAUGCAAGUCGAACGGUAACAGGCCGCAAGGUGCUGACGAGUGGCGAACGGGUGAGUAAUGCAUCGGAACGUGCCCAGUCGUGGGGGAUAACGCAGCGAAAGCUGUGCUAAUACCGCAUACGAUCUAUGGAUGAAAGCGGGGGACCGUAAGGCCUCGCGCGAUUGGAGCGGCCGAUGUCAGAUUAGGUAGUUGGUGGGGUAAAGGCCUACCAAGCCGACGAUCUGUAGCUGGUCUGAGAGGACGACCAGCCACACUGGGACUGAGACACGGACCAGACUCCUACGGGAGGCAGCAGUGGGGAAUUUUGGACAAUGGGCGCAAGCCUGAUCCAGCAAUGCCGCGUGCAGGAAGAAGGCCUUCGGGUUGUAAACUGCUUUUGUACGGAACGAAACGGCCUGGGUUAAUACCCUGGGCUAAUGACGGUACCGUAAGAAUAAGCACCGGCUAACUACGUGCCAGCAGCCGCCGUAAUAC